GAUGAACGCUGGCGGCGUGCCUAAUACAUGCAAGUCGAGCGAACGGACGAGAAGCUUGCUUCUCUGAUGUUAGCGGCGGACGGGUGAGUAACACGUGGAUAACCUACCUAUAAGACUGGGAUAACUUCGGGAAACCGGAGCUAAUACCGGAUAAUAUUUUGAACCGCAUGGUUCAAAAGUAAAAGACGGUCUUGCUGUCACUUAUAGAUGGAUCCGCGCUGCAUUAGCUAGUUGGUAAGGUAACGGCUUACCAAGGCAACGAUGCAUAGCCGACCUGAGAGGGUGAUCGGCCACACUGGAACUGAGACACGGUCCAGACUCCUACGGGAGGCAGCAGUAGGGAAUCUUCCGCAAUGGGCGAAAGCCUGACGGAGCAACGCCGCGUGAGUGAUGAAGGUCUUCGGAUCGUAAAACUCUGUUAUUAGGGAAGAACAUAUGUGUAAGUAACUGUGCACAUCUUGACGGUACCUAAUCAGAAAGCCACGGCUAGCUACGUG
rnacentral:rRNA from 1 species